rnacentral:lncRNA from 1 species
ACUAUAUACAACAUAUACACACACACACACAUACAUAUAUAUACAUAUGAAUAUACAUUUAUAUUUACACUCACAGACACACACACACAUAUACGCACAUACAUACAUGUAUAGAGAGAAGAAAGAAAGGGAAAAGUGUGAGGUAAAUAGGAAUUAUUCUUUGAUAAUUUUGCCACUGUGGUUAUGCCCAUGCUGUGGCACUGCCAGAAACACAAACAGAAGACAAAGAAGUGUGAAAGAGGAGAGGAAAAAAAGAGAAACUAAAAUGUGUAUGUGUGUGUGUGUGUGUACGUAUCUCUCUUUUACUCUCUUUUACUUGUUUCAGUCAUUAGACUGCAGCCAUGUUGGAACACCACCUUUAGUCGAGCAAAUCGACCCCAGGACUUAUUCUUUGUAAGCCUAGUACUUAUUCUGUCAGUCUCUUUUGCCGAACCACUAAGUUAUGGGGAAGUAAACACACCAACAUCAGUUGUCAAGCGAUGUUGGGGGGGUCAGACACAGACACACACAUAUAUAUACAUAUACAUAUAUACAACGGGCUUCUUUCAGUUUCCAUCUACCAAAUCCACUUACAAGCCUUUGGUUGGCCCGAAGCUAUAGUAGAAGACACUUGCCCAAGGUGGCACGCAGUGGGACUGAACCCGGAACCAUGUGGUUGGUAAGCAAGCUACUUACCACACAGCCACUCCUAUGCCUAUUUAAAAAAAAGUAAAAAAAAAACACAAAAUAAAAAAGGAGGGGGUGAUAUGGGACUUUGUGGUAGUAGUGAUAGUAGUGGAGAAAAUGAUAGAAAGAAGAUAUGAGGAGGGAAUUAUGAGAAGGAGAGAGGUAGAUAGAAAGGAAAAGCUAUACAAUUAGACUGGAAGGAAAACAAAAAUGCACAGUGAAAGAUGAAAGUGAAAGGAAAGAGGAGAAAAAUAUGUUUUUAACUAACAAUAAUGAAAAAUAAUUAUGAAAAAUAAUAAUGAAAAUGUAGUGUCGUUGUUGAUGUUGAUGAUGUUGUUGUUGUUGUUGCUAUUUAACCCCAGGUCAACUCUGAUGAAACAGACCUAUGAUCAAAAGAAUACACGUCGUGACACUGCAGUCAUCUUGCCCUCUCUCUUUCAUUCUCUCUCUCUCUCUCUCCUUCUCCCUCUACUUAUCUAUCUAGCUAUCUAUCUGUAUCUAUCUAUUAAUCUAUUUGUCAGUCUGUCUGUCUAUAUAUUUUUGCCUCUAUCCAUCUCUCUUCUUCUCUCUCUAUCUAUCUAUGUAUCACCCUAUUUCUAUCUUUAUCUCUCUCUUUCUGUCCAUCUCUCUUUCUCUCUCUCUCUCUCUCUCUCUCAGUCUAUCUAUCUUUCUCUCUAUCCAUCCAUCCAUCCAUCAAUCCAUCUAUCUGUCUGUCUGUAUGUCUCAGUCUCACUCUCUCUGGAAUAAAAUGCCCCAGAUUGCAUCUUCUAAGGUGCCCCCACCAUAUUUUUUUUUAAGACGGUUAGGUGUGGUUUGAGGGAGAUUUAGCAGCUGUUCCUACAGGUUGAAUGAUCACUCAGAGCUCCUGCAUUGCACUGUAUAGAGAAGUUUUAAAGGAAUAAAGGAAAUAAAGAAAAGGGGAUGAUGAAAAUGCUUGUGGGAGGAAAUGAAAUUUGAGAUAGAAAACACUAAACAGGAUAUGAUAGAUUUGUGACAAAGAUACAAAGGAGCAAGCUUUGACAAUAAAACCAUGCAGAGAGAGAGAGAGAUACAUACAUACAUAGAUACAUAGAUAGACAGACCGACUAACAGAUAGAUAGAUGGAUAGACAGACAGACAGACAGACAGACAGACAGAUAGAUAGACAGACAGAUAAAUAGAUAGAUAGAUAGAUAGAUAGAUAGUUAGGUAGACAGAGAUAGAAAGAGAAAGAGAAAGAGAGUGAGAGAGAGUGUGUGUGUGUGUGUGUACGUGUGUGUGUGUGUGUGUGUGGCUGUGCGCACGUGUGUGUGUUAUGAGUUAGUGGUUGACAGAGUUGUCCGAGUGACUGUUUGGUUCAUGUAGUGCCGGGAUCCUUAGUUAUAUUUGUGUGGAGACACCAAGAGGCAUUUAUUUCGUUGAGGUUGACUGCUUGGUUGAUCAAUGUUGUGACAAGAAGUGCUUGUAACCUGUCCGCGGAGUGCCGAAGUUGAAAGAACAGGCAUUGCUCGAUGAACUCUGGAAAAUUUUCAGACCCCUAAAUGUUAGCCAAUAGCUAAACAGAGACGGUCGAUGGUGAAGGGCAGUGAAAUAAGAGAGUAGGGUGGGGUACAAAUGUUAGGGAAUAGAGAAGAGAGAGAGAGAGAGAAAAUGAAUCAUUGAUGGUACAGGUGAUGCUGUUUCACUGGAUGAGGAAGUGACAUAAGAGAGAGAACAGAAAAGAAAAUUAAAACAAAAAAAAAUGAAGAACAGCAAGUAAACAAAAAGCGAAAAUGGUUUCAAAGAAAUUGUGGAGCAGGGUUCAGUUUUCAGGGAUGAUGAAAUAUAGGGACAGAGAUGAGAGAUAGAAACGGAUGAGGUAAGUUGAGUUUAGAAUUACCGAAUUCCUCAGACACACAGUCACAAAACUCACAAAUUUCCCAGUAUCUCUUUUAUUUUAGCAUCAUCGUUAUCGUACUUUCUCUUUCUCUUUCUCUCCCUCUCUCUUCCCAUCUCAUUCUCUCUCAUUGUCUAUCCUUUCUUUCACUCUUUCUUUCUUUAGCUCUGUACCUUUGUCAGUCAGUAUGAAUAGUUUUUCUCUUUCUCUCUUCCCCUCUCCCAGAAACAAAACACAAACCAAUAACAGAACAUCAAGAAAUAGCAGCCAAAUCUCCCCCAAGGAUAGGACACGCUAUAUAAUGUAGUCCUACAUAUUUCUAAAGAGACAGGAUAGUCAUGGCAGGGAUGUCUUUCAUCACACAUCUGCUCGAACAGGGCUGGCCUGGGGCAAAACAAUGUCAAUAAAGCAGAUACAACCAAUAACACAUGCACACAUCCAUAUACACACGCACACACACACACACAAACUGACAUUUAAGCAUACACAAACCUACAAACCGAUGCACAAAUACAUACACAGACAUUCAUAUACACACACACUCACAAACUGAUCACAUGCACACACAUGCACAAACACACAUACACAAAUGCACAAACUGACACAGUUUCACACGUAAACUCAGACACACAUGCACACACACACUCCAACACAUUCCAACACAUACACACACACACACACACAUCCCCUCCAAACACACACACUCACACAAAGGCAGAUGCACAUACACACAAAGACAGACACAUAUACACACAGACACACAUACACACACACAGAGCAAUAAUGACAUGCACACACACACACACACACACAUAUAGCAACAAUCAUACAAACACACACACACACACAGCAACAGUGACGCAAACACACACACACACAGACAUGCACACAACACUCACACACAUAUACACAUACACACAUACUCACACAAACAGACACACACACACAAAAAUCCACAUGCAUGCACGUGCACACACACACAGAGAUACACACCUAGCAACAACGACAGAGAUAUAUGCACACACACAUACACAAAGACAGACACACACACACAUACUCACAGAAAGACAGACAUACACACACAAACAUAAAAAUGACACAAACACACACACAAACUCACAUACUCACAGAAAGGCAAACAGACACAUACAAAGACACACACACACACACACACACAGCGCGCACACAUAUACAUACACAGCAAAAAUGACACAAACACACACAGUCACAGCACUAUAGUUCUGCUUCCUCCAGAUACAUUCAACACAACUAUUGAUGCUGUAGUUGUUGUUAAAGAUGUUUAACCACAAACCAGCUCUGACUGGGAGUAGAUCUAUGCCUCAAAACAAUCCAACCGUGACCAAGUCACUUUUUUUCUUUUUGUUUUUUCCAGCUAUUAUGUAUGUCCUGUUUUCGUGUUAUUCAAACAUUGCUUUAGACAUACAUCUGUUUAGGAAUGUUUGUAGUUUGAUUUGAAGAACAUCUGACUGUUAUUUCUAGCACAUUGAGAGACCAUGUAGUAGUAGUGGUGGUGGUGGUGGUAACAAAAGUGGUGGCAGAGGUGGUGGUGGUGGUGUUGGUGGCGUUGGUGGUUGUGGUGGUGUUGGUGGUGAAAGUAGUGGCAGUAGUAGUUAUUGGUUUGGUAUGAUUGUUUGUGUAAUUGUUGUUGCUGAUGGUAUUUUUUAAAAUGGUUAUUGUUGGUGCAUGUGAAUGUAUGUGUGGUUGUUGUUUUGGUUGAUUCUGGCAUGACUAUUGCCAUUGUGGUGACUGUGGUAUUGGUAUGAUUGUUGUUGUUGUUAACAUGUUGGAGUAGUUAUUGUUGCUGCUGGUAUGAUUUUCGUUGAUAUUAGUGUGGUUGUUGUUUUUGGCAGUGGUGAUGUGGUUGUUGUUGUUGGCAGUGGUGGUGUGGUUGUUGCAUGUGAUAGUGUUUCACAACUUUAGACUGGUACUUUGUUUUAUCAAUCCUAAAAAGGUGUAAGGCAUAGCUGACCUUAGCAGGAUUUGAAACCAGAAUGCAGCCAGCUGGAAUACAUACAGAAAGGCAUUUUGACCCAUCCGUCAUGUAUCCAUGUACAUAUAUAUGUAUAGACCCCCUCCAGUUAUGAAUGACCACGGGAUUGCACCUAAGAAGUACCCCUCUGAGACACAAGUCUGGGCAAGGUUGUUUAUGGAAGACCAGCAGUUGCCCAUGCAUGCCAGCCUUCUCUCUCUAUGCCACCAAUGUUAUCCAAGGGAAAGGUAAAGGCCAAUACAGCUUGGCACCAGUGAUGUCACAACUCAUUUCCACAGCUAAGUGAACUGGAGCAAUGUGAAAUAAAGUGUGUAGCGCAAGAACACAACACACAGCCCAGUCCAAGAAUCAAACUCACUGCCUCAUGAUUGUGAACCCGGUGCUCUAACCACUGAGCUAGGUGCUUUCACAUGUGUGUGUGUGCAUACGUGACCACGUGUGUGUGCAUUAAUAUAUAUAUGUAUACAUAUAAUAUAUAUAUACACACAUAUAUAUCAUCAUCAUUGGUCAUCAUCCCUGUAGUUAUCAUCAUCAGCAGUCGUUAUCAGUAUUGUCACCAUCGUCAUCAUCAUUUAACUUCCACGCUCCAUGUUGGCAUGGGUUAGAUAGUUUAUCAAGACCUAAUGGGCCCAAGGAUUACAUAAUGCCCCAGUGUCUGCUUCAGUAUGGUUUCUGUGGCUAGAUGCCCUUUGUAAUGCCAGCCACUUUACAGUGUGUACAAGGAGCUUUUUUCGUGCCAUCAGCACUAAUGGGACUGUCAGGCAAUUUGCAAGACAAUGAUCCCCACCCCAGGGGAAAACUUUACAUUAGAAGGGAAGGAGCAAAAGAUGAGUAAAAAUAUGAGAGAAGGGGGUCAGGGAAGAACAGAUUUCUUGCUGUAGAGGAGUCACAUGACAACUCACAUAUUAAGAGAGAGGGUAGGAGUGAUUGAGAGGAGCUAAAAAGUGGUAAGGGGGCAGUGAAACAGGAAAUGACUGACAAGGCUAAGCAACAGCAGAAUAUUAAUGAUGAAAUAGUAGACAGGAGAAGAACAAGAUGACACACAAAUGAGUGAACACACAAAAGAAAAUAACAUGCAGCAAAUGUAUUUGGAGUUUUUAAAUAAUUAAUAAUAACAGAUUGACUCACUUGUGCAGAACACAUCCUCAUCAUCAGAUGAAUAGUAACUUAAUAAAAUAUAUAUUUAUCUUUUAUAUAAUUAUAUGAGGUUUAUUAUACAUUCAGUAAGCUUGAUAUUGUUAUGUUCAGCAAGCAAUGUAUCUAUUUUAAACAUCAUAAAGAAAAGACUCUUCUGCUGGCCUUAAUCAACUGUUCCUGGCCUUAAUCAAAAGUUCCCUCCAAGGCAGAAGUCUGGGCAAGAUUAUUUGUAGAAGACUAACACUCACCCAUGCAUACCAGUUUCCCAUCUCCACACCACCAAUGUUGUCCAAGAGAAAGGCAAAGAACAAUACAGCUUGGCACCAGUAAUGUUGCAGCUCAUUUCUACAGCUGAGUGAACUGGAGGAACAUGAAAUAAAGUGUCUUGCUGAAAAACACAAUACACAGCCCAGUCCAGGAAGCACACCCACAACCUCGCAAUUGUAAGCCCAGCAUUCAAACUAUUGGCCCAUGUGAUUUCACAUAAUUCAAAUAUCAUAUAUGCAUGCGAUAUUAACUCCAACCCUCAUUUGACUCAGUUGAGAGUUAAAGCAGGCAUUUUCCAAAUAUCUAAUGAAGUGGACAUGUCCUAUGUCUGCAAAACUUUAAUGUGGAGCUGAGUCAACAUGGUGACAAUUAUGCAUGUGUAUACAUAUAUCAUCAUGAAUGAGUGCACAGCAACACACUCACACACAUAGGUCCCCCAGCAUGGCUGCAGUCUAAUGACUAAAACAUGUAAAAAAUAAAAGAUAUAAAGAAUCCUUGAAUAACACAGAUGUAGGAGUGGCUGUGUGGUAAGUAGCUUGCUUACGAACCACAUAGUUCUGGGUUCAGUCCCACUGUGUGGCACCUUGGGCAAGUGUCUUCUACUAUAGUCUCGGGCCAACCAAAGCCUUGUGAGUGGAUCUUGUAGACGGAAACUGAAAAGAAACCCGUCAUAUAUAUGUAUAAAUAUAUAUAUGUAUGUAUGCAUGUGUUUAUGUUUGUGUGUCUGUGUUUGUCCCCCCAACAUCGCUUGAUAACUGAUGCUGGUGUGUUUACAUCCCCAUAACUUAGCGGUUCGACAAAAGAGACCGAUAGAAUAAGUACUAGGCUUACAAAAAAUAAGCCCUGGGGUUGAUUUGUUUGACUUAUAUAUAUAUAUAUAUAUAUAUAUAUAUAUACCUUUCCACUGGCUAACUUAGACAAUAAGAUUUUGAAAACAAAUUAUGUCCAGAUUAAAUUGUGUUACUUCAAUAACAGAAUUAUCCAAAAUAAACUUUGUCAUCGAAUAAAUUUUCAACGAAUGAAAUCAUCGUGUUUAUGAGAGGGUAGAGCAAAAGUAGAUAAAAAAAUUUAAAUUGUAAAUUACACUGUGGAAGAAUAAUUUUAACGAAUUAAAAACCCCAAAUUUGCUAAAUUCAUUUGUCAUUCGUUUCUUGCCAAAAUGUUCAUUAUACAACUGUGACCUGAUCAUUAACAUAGUUCCACUGAAACUGUUUAAAAUUUAGUUAAUGACCAUUUCUUAUAGUCCUUCGAGGUUUGCCUUCUGUUUUUGGUGAACUUACAAGCAAGAGGUCUGCUUAUUCAUGUUGAUUUGCUUUAAUCUCUUGACAUUAGUCAUAGAUUGGUCAUCAUUAGUCAUAUUCUGGUUCUCUUCUUUUGUCUGCUGACAACAAUGCAUAUGUCAUUGUUAGUAUUCCAUCAUUUCUGUUCUGUUCUUUUUCUUUAUACAUUCUUUUUUUACUUCUUUUCCAACUCGAAAGUUAGUUUUAAAUUUAUGCAUACCCUGUUUACUAUGCAUAAAAAUAAAGUGUUUUGGGACAUUUCUCAAUUGUGCGUACAAGCUGACAGAAACAGUUUCCUUCUAUGUAGAUUUAAAUUACAUUUUAGAAUUUUGAACACAAGCUAAUCAGGAAAUAAUGUCAAUAGAUUUCUAUGUAUCUAUCUGUAUAAAAUUACAUCUGUACAUACACAUAAAAAUAUACACACACACACACCUAUCUAUUCAUCCAUACAUACAUAUAUCCAUACAUAGGCGCAGGAGUGGCUGUGUGGUAAGUAGCUUGUUUACCAACCACGUGGUUCUAGGUUCAUUCCCACUGCAUGGCACCUUGGGCAAGUGUCUUCUACUAUAGCCUCGGGCCGACCAAAGCCAUGUGAGUGGAUUUGGUAGACGGAAACUGAAAGAAACCCAUCAUAUAUAUGUAUACAUUUGUGUGUGUGUGUGUGUGUGUGUUUGUGUGUCUGUGUUUGUCCCCCCCAACAUCGCUUGACAAUUUGCUGGUGUGUUUACGUCCCUGUAACUUAGCGGUUUGGCAAAAGAGACCAAUAGAAUAAGUACAAGGCUUCCAAAGAAUAAGUCCUGAGGUCGAUUUGCUCCAGCAUGGUGCUUCAGCAUGGCUGCAGUCAAAUGACUGAAACAAGUAAAAGAGAGAGUAAGGAGUAUACAUACAGGCAUACAUACAUGCAUGUAUACAUACAUAUAUAAAUACAUACAUACAUACAGACAGACAGACAAACUAACAAAAAAUACCCUGUUCAUGUUGUUGAAAUUCCAAUGAAGGAACCUUGGAUCUAGGUUAGAAACUGACUCUUUCUCUAUUGACAAGAAAUCUAGAAAUAAAACUGAAUAAUAAUUAACUGACUGACUCACACACACACACACACACACACACACACAUACACGUAUUUUUUAGCUGAUAACUUGAAACUUUUUUUUGUUUAAUGCAACACACAAAUAAGAAUAACCUAAGAAUAUUCAAUGAAAAUGAUAGAUAACUUUGUUGAUAACCUUGUUUCCUUAAUUUCCUAUAACUGCUUCCAAGGCAGCUAAAAGGAGAGAGACAUUUUAUCAUAAAUUCAUAUCGUUACAUUAUCAAUUAAAAGAAAUUAUCAUUACUAAAUAGAUUGUAUUUAUUAUUCUGAACAGAGGAGCUUGUUCAAAUUCAUAAAUAUAAUCCCUUAAAUAAGUGUUUAUAAAACUAAAGCGGAAGUCACAAACAGCCUUUUACUUCUGCUGGCCUUAAUCAAUUGCACCUGGAAAGUUCCCCUUACAGGCAGAAAUCUGAGCAAGGUUAUUUGUAGAAGACCAACACUCACCCAUGCAUACCAGUCUCCCAUCUCCAUACCACCAAUGUUGUCCAAGAGAAAGGCAAAGGCUGAUACAGCUUGGCACCAGUAAUGUUGCAGCUCAUUUCUACAGCUGAGUGAACUGGAGCAACAUGAAAUAAAGUGUCUUGCUCAAGAACACAAUACUCAGCCUGGUCCAGGAAGUGCACUCACAGCCUCACUACUGUAAGCCCAACACCCUAACUAUUAGGCCAUGUGUUUUCGCAUAGUUCAAAUAUCAUAUAUGCAUGCGAUAUUAACUCCAACCCUCAUUUGACUCAGUUAAAAUUGCAGACACAUGCCAGACAACAUCAUAAAAGAAGAAACUUCUUGACACAUGCAAACGAGGAACCUUGUUAAAGAAUUUUCACGUGACUGUCAGGUUGGAUCACAUGACAUUAUCAUGGAAAACAUACAAUAUUCUUUUCUACUCUAGUCACAAGGUCCAAAAUUUUGGGGGAGGGGGGCAGUCAAUUAGAUCAACCCUAGAAUGCAACUGGUACUUAAUUUAUUGACCCCGAAAAGAUGAAAAGCAAAGUUGACCCUGCUGGAAUUUGAACUCAGAAUGUAAAAACGGAUGAAAUACCUAUUUCUUUACUACCCACAAGGGGCUAAACACAGAGAGGACAAACAAGGACAGACAAAGGGAUUAAGUCAAUUAUAUCAACCCCAGUGCGAAACUGGUACUUAUUUAAUCGACCCCGAAAGGAUGAAAGGCAAAGUCGACCUCGACAGAAUUUGAACUCAGAACGUAACGGCAGAUGAAAUACAUCCGUCGUGCUAACAUUUCUGCUAGCUCGCCACCUUUAAAAACGGAUGAAAUACCACUAAGCAUUUUGCCCAGCAUGCUAACAUUUCUGCUAUCCCGCAGUCUAGGAAAACAUACAAUAUUGCGAUAAAACAAUGAUAUUGUGCAUAUAUCUAUAGAGAGUCUAUCUGAAUGAAGUAACAAAAAAAGUAUUGCUUGAUUUUAUGUAUUUCAUCAGCAUAAAGAAAGGACCAACAGAUCCACAUAUUUUUUUUUCCUUCUAAGCAUAAAAAAUGUAAAACAUUAACAAAUAAUGUCAUACCAAAAUACGCAUAGACUUUUUCCUGUUCGUGAAAAUACAAUAUAUUGAAAAAUUGAUGAAUAAUGACAUAAAAAAAAAAAUAGAUGACAUCUCAAAUCAUUUGAAGAGCACUUUAUAACUAUUGAUUAAGAAUUAUAAAUAAUUUUAUAUAUUAAAGAUAUAUCUAGCUUUAGGGAUCAGAAAAGUCCCUAAAGUGCAGAAUGAAAAAAAUAUGCAUAUGUAUGUUAAUGUUAAUUGUGUUGUAAAUAUGUUAUGAUGAAGAUGAUUGUAAAUGAUUCAAUGUAACACCAGAAGAAUUCCUCAAGAGUAUUCCUCAAGAGCUUUUACCAAUCUAAUAUUGAUUACUAUUUCUCCUCAACAACAUUAAGUUGAUACUGAAUUGAUUAAAACUUUUUCAUGCACAGACACUGUAACAGUUGAAGUGGUCGACCUUUCAUAAGAUCUUCAUCAAAUAGACUUCAAGUUUAUAAACACACACUAUACAUAAUAGAUAGAUAGGUGAAGUUCAUAAUUACUUGCAAUACAAAGAAUAUACAUUGAAAUUAUGACCACAUUGGAUAUCUUCAAGGAAAGAACCGGAAAGAUCUUUAACUUUCUAUUGAAUUGAAAGAAAUAGAAUAAUGUGCUGUUCAUUCAUUAAAUUUUUCUUUUUAGUUCUCAACAGGCAAUUCACAUCUCUUGCAAUAGUAUUUAUGUGAGUACCGCAUAUUAGUUAAUCUCUGUAUCUUUAUAAUGACUUCCUUCUUUCACUAUCUCCAAUAAGCAAUGCAAAAUCAGAGAUAAAACAAACUCAAUUUCAUUGGAAGCACAAGUAUAUCUAAAUUAAGUUCAUUCUUUCCCAUGGAAUAAAAUAAUUUCUCCCAAACAACACCAAAGUCCAAUUUCACUUUUCAUUUUUCAUUCACUUGUUUACCAUUCAUUUUCCCAAGCUAGAAUGAGUUUGAUUGGAAUUUUAUUUGAGGGCGGAUUUUACAGCUGGAUUCUCGUGCCGGUGGCACGUAAAAGCACCCACUACACUCUCGGAGUGGUUGGCAUUACAAAGUGCAUCCAGCUGUAGAAACUCUGCCAGAUCAGACUGGAGCUUGAGUGCAGCCAUCUGGUUUGCCAGACCUCAGUCAAAUCAUCCAACCCAUGCUAGCAUAGAAAGUAGAUGUUAAAUGAUGAUUAUGAUAAUGAUGAUGAUGAUGAUGAUGACAGGCUUCUUUGAUGAUGAUGAUGAUUCCCUUCUUAUUGUCAAUCCUUACCUCCUUUUCAAGUAAGGAAUAACUUUAUUCCACAAGCUUUCAAAAGCACAAAGUGACUUGUCGUGAUGUCAUCAAAGGAUAUGAACAUCAGCACUUCAGGGAUGAUGAGCAUGACAUGACCAAAACCUAACUUCAAGUACCAAGGCUCCAACAUACAAUAUGACAGGGAUCACCUCACUGAUGUCAAAAUGUAUGUUAAUGCCACAUGGUUAAAGUUAACACGAACAUCUAAAGACCUUGUGAUUGGAAGAUAUUUAUGCCCUUGAAAGCAAAGAACCAGGGGCCCUUUACAGAUUGAGUGUUUCCCACCAGCAAUGAGGUAUAAACCGACUCAUUAUGUCAUAGAAAUAUAGAUAUUUUAUUGCACUUUGGAGCUAAUUUGCCUGGACCAUGCCUUGAAUAAAAACGUGCUGCUUGACAUAGAAGUGGUACCAAUCACUAAAAAGUUGUGUAACAUGUGCCUCCACUGAAAUGGGUAUAUGACAUGCCAUGAAGAACAAGUAGUAGUAAAGGCAUUGUUAAUAAUCAGCUCAAAUGUGUGACAGUAUGGAGGGUCAAAGAAUCAGUAGUUUGAGAGAUCUACAACAGGUCAACUUCACUCUGUUGAACAUUGUUGAAAAAAUCCAAGUGUGGAGAAGUAUGCAUGAAAAGAGACUCCAUUUGAGGGAUAACAGAAGAUUAGAUGAUGAAUAAUUACAAUAUAUUUGCAUUAUAAUUCUCAAUAAUGUAAUAGUGUGAAAAUAUUCUGCAUGAAGCUGAAGCGUAUUGCUAUAUUGUUCUUGUUGAACACUCGAUGGAAUUUGUAGGCCUCCAAGGAAUGUUUGCUGAUAAGAGAAGAGAAUUAAUCUAGAGUAAAAUGAGGUUGAUAAGCAAACUGCUGAAAUAUAGAGUUAUGUUUGCUGAAAGAUGAACAUCUCAAAAAACUUCAUCUUAUAUAUGCAUUGUGCUGAUAUCUCCCCAGAGAGUACCACAUAGGACUCAUGAUGGCACCGUGAUGAUAAAUUUUUUAACAGAUAACUUCCUCAAAGACUUACAUGACUUGAAUUAAACACUUGCAAUAAUACUCAAGAGGAACAGGAACCAAGACAGUUUCUACUUGGUCUUGUUGCUCACCUACUAAAAAUAGCAGUCAAAUUUCCUUCAAAUUACACACAGUGGACAGUGUAGUGCGACAUACACUAUUUGAGUUAAAAGAUGGAAUGGUUAUGGUUUGGAUCGCCUUUAACUGUAGGCCUGCUAGAUCUUGAUUGAUAUAAGGGCUAACAGCACUCACUGAAGUAUCCCUUUCUCUCUCCAGCAAAUAACCUCCUACAAGUAACAGCUAAAUUUCUCUCAAAUCACAUGAUAAUGCAGUAAAUAAGGAAAGAAUACUUUAGAUAAUGGUAGUUCAAAGUAACUUAAAAAGAUAGGACAGUUAUGAAAUGAAAUGCAUUUAGGCAAGGAUGGUUAAGGUAAAACAAUAACCAAAAAAAUCAGCACUUUCCAUAUAUAUUUGGAGAUAAAAAGAUAAAAGAAAGACCAGAAGUAUUAUCUGAGUGAUCCUGAACAAAGUAGCAAUGUUUACAAAUGGACCAAAGCACUGUGAUUUCUGUCUAGCCAAAAACUUUCACAUUUUCUCACAACAUCCUAAUCUUAAGCAAAAUAAAAUUAAAAUGGUUCAACUUUAAUUGCAUGUAGAGUAACUUGAUUAACACCACAAUUACUUGCCAGUCACUGAUGUAUAUGGAUAGAUGAUUAUUUUAAUUUAAGAUUGCUUCAAUUGCAUAUGUCGGAUUUUUAUUCAACUGAGCAGAUAUUUGCAAUAUCAAUGAAUGUUUUAUUCACUGCUUCCUAUAUGAGGGGUGAAAAAUUUAAUCUAAGCAUGUAUAUGAACAUAGUUAUUUAAAUUUAAAUUCAAAUAACUAUGUUCUCUAAACAGCAAAAUUCCCCGCAGAGAAUUAUUUUCUGCAGAAUUAUUUCCGGUAUUUUAGCGAGCCAAAACAAGGACUUUUGAAAGAUAACCCCAAGUGUAAUUGGUAGAACUGUAUACAUGUUCAAUCAAAUGCGGACAUCUCAUGUAUAGUUCGGCAAAUUAUAUUUGCAUUGACGAUCAUACUGAAGAGCUACGGACAAUUAUGUAAAUAAUUUUGUGUAAGGGUUAAUAGCAAAACUAGUUUAUGAUUAAUCUAUAUUCUGUUUCUUUUCAUUUGUCUUGCUCACUUAUGUUCUGGCGUUUGCUAAAUUUUCUUGAAAACAUUCCUUUUUUAGUGGUAAGGCUAUAGUGGAUCUACUUGUAGCAUAAUGGAUGUCCACCUAAUGGUCAUCCCUAUUGUAUAUAUAUAUAUAUAUAUAUAUAUAUAUAUAUAUAUACACACAUGCACACAUAUUUUCAAUAGAUGAAGGGUUAGAGAAUUUAAUUUUAUUGACUAAAUUCUUCUUUGUUUGUUUUGAACUUUGGCUUAAUUUUUAAGAAUGUAAGUAAAUAGAUCUAACAAGUUAAUGCGUUGUUUCUUUUACCAUAAUUAUCAUGUUUGUUUGUUUUUCUUUUUUGUUUUUUUAUCUGAAAGAUAUUUGAUCAAUGAAGAAUACUUCUCAUUUGAAGAGAAAACAAAUUAGACACAUAUUAAAUAACAUAGAUCAAUUAAAUGUGAAACUGACAAAGUGUCCAUGAGUUAAUAUCAACACAAAAUGGCCUUUUAUGACAUAAUUCAUUAUCUUAGUGGAGUAUACAAUUAUUUACUUUAUAACACUUACUGCAUCCACCACCACUACCACCACCACCACUUUAUUUUCUAUUAAUCAGAGUCUGACUCUGAAGUAAUAAUGUCAUGUAAUAAAUCAUACAAAUCAUACACCCCGUCUCACCAAAUAGAAUGUCUCUCAACGUUAGCUGCACAGAACUUUUACAUUUAUCACUCUGGAGAUAAUAAUACAGGUUAGAACUGCUACCAUUCUAAUUUUGCUUGUUGAUUGGAUCAAAUAAACCAAUCAGUGAACUGCACUAUAAUAAGUCAGCUGAUACAGUGAAACUAAAAAAAAAAGAAGAAAAAAGAAAGAAAUGAAAUAAAAUAAAAAUCAAAUAACGAAAGUUAAACUAAUUUAUAGGAGAAAUAAAUUAAUCAAUAUGUCAGCUAAUUAUAGAUGUAAAGCAAUUUAUGAUUGAGUUUUUGGUUACUUGAGAAGUGAUAGAGAUAAGUGAUAGACAACUUUGAGAAAAUACAAUUUUUAGUAGAAAGGAAAUAGAAAGAAAUCUUAAAAUUACAAAAAAAGUGACACUAGAAUGGUGACUGUGUAGAUAAGAACAACUUAAUUUUUAAAAGUUGCAAAAAUAUAGGUUUUCACUUCAAGCUUUUGUCAUGGCAGAAUUAAUUAAAAAUCAAUAUUAAAGUGAUUUUAUUCCUCUUCUUUCUUUCUUUUUUUUUUUUUUUGCAGUGCAAAAUUGUUAAGUACUAAUAUUUCACAAUAAAAAAGAAAAAGAAGAAAUGAAAAUCAUAAAAUUAGAAUGGAAUGUGAUUUCUAAAUCCGGUUAUUGUAGCUAUAUGUUUUGUAUCAGAUAUUGAUCUUGUUGAAAUGAACUCUUUCCAAGUAGAUAUUUCGUGAUUGUCUGUCUACACAAGUCUAUAUUUGCUAUUUGAAGUAAAAAAAGGAUAAAAGAAAAGGAGUAAGGAUAGAUUGUUUGUAAUCCACUUCUGGUCGUAUCCCACUUCAAGCCUGAAGCAUUUUGGUUGCUCCCUUGACAUGUUAUUGCUGCUGUCCUAACUGGAUACUAACCAAGUGCUGGCUUGCUCAGUCUUAAUACUCAUUUUUGCUAGCUAAGUAGAUUGGAACAGCAAGAAAUAAAAUGCCUCACCCAAAUACAUAAUAUGCCUCUCAGACUGAGAACCAAACCCUUGACCUUAUGAUCAAGAGCCUAGUUUCCUAACCACUAGGCUAUAGGUUUUCUAAUAUCUACAAUAAAGAAUACUCUGUAUACAGUUGUGGCCAAAAGUUUGGAACAUAGAUCUGAAAAUUUCUUCUAGAUAUUGAACCAUUAGAUCAUUUUUAUUAGGUAAGUAUAUCUCUACAUUGUAUAUAUUUGAAAUGAAUUGUACUUGGACGUAACAAUUUUAAUGUUUAAAAAACGUCCCAAAUUUUUGGCCAUGAUUGUAGAUAUAAAUUCAGAAAAAGAAAAUUGUAAGCUUUCAUGAAGAAUAACAAGACAAUGAAGUCCUACUGACAAUUCUAGGAUGGUGUUGCUUCAGCACACGCAAACAGAAUAAUAAUAAUGAUGCAGUACCAGGCAGUGGCUCUCAUGGCUUCCAAUAUUAACUGAUUGGAAGUGUUAUCAUGGACAUUUGUUUUGUCUUGGUAUAAGAGAUGGACUGCAGUAAAUAUUCUGCUCAAUACCACAGAUUUGCUUGUCAGUUGCUUGACCUUAACCAGUGGCUGACAAUAUGUGCAUCUCUGAUCACGAGCAGAAAAGUGAGGGAGCAUCAUAGCCAUGUGUUGAGAGGAAUCCUUUGGAGUUUUAAAUCACUCACCUCUGGAAACAUGGGUGUUUUGUUCAUCCUCCUUAAAACAACCCUUAUUCAGGAACCUUUUCAAUAGGAUGGGCUACUCAACCCGAAGAAAAUUCUAACUGGGCCCCUCCUACAAGGUCAUGAACUGUUUAUCUUGAUAUGAGAUCACUAUGUGCACAUAUGGUUGUGAUGCAUGUGCCUGAUGUACCCUUAUCAGACAGGUAGUCAUGAUGGGUAUAUUGGGCUUCAUAUAACUGUACCUCAGUGUUACUUUGAUGGCAUGCACUGUUCUCUCACUCAAUGACAAUUAUAAUCCUUUCUAUGAUAGGACAAGGCCUGACACUUUGGAGGAGGAGGCUAGUCGAUUACAUUGACCUCAGUGUGUAACUGGUACUUAUUUCAUCAACCCUGAAAGGAUGAAAGGCAAAGUCAACCUCAGCAGAAUCUGAACUCAGAAUGUAAGGACAGACAAAAUACCACUAAGCAUUUUGCCCGGUGUGCUAAUAAGUCUGCCAGCUCACUGCUUUAUAUAAAAAUAAUAAUAAUAAUAAUAAUAAUAAUAAUAAAGGCAAAGAACAGUGUAGUAAGAGCAGCAAACUUCUAGACACACAAGCUCUAUUAUAAUAUUAUAACAUAAAACCGUAUUUAGCGGAAGUUCGUUGAAAUAAAAAUAUCAAAGAGGCCUACAGACAUUGUAAUCAUCAUUAAUUUCUAAUUGCCAAACACAAUGUAAAUACAAAGUUCAAUCUUGUGGUUGUUAAAAGUCAAGAAGUCUUUUUGCUUCAAGAUAGUUGCUACGCUUCUUUAGUUCACAGAUCAAGUUAAAUGUCAACUGUCUUGAUGAAAAUGUUCAUAUUUAAAGUAAGCCUUGUACAAACAUAGCUGUAAACAAAACAAUAUAUAAAUAUAUUGGUAUUGCUAUCUUAUGGUCUUGCCAAUUAAGUAAGAUGUGCUUUCUGAUGAGGCCUAAUAAGACCGGAAUAUGUCUGCUUUCAUUAGUUGGUUUUAGAUACAAACUUGACUAUCUGCAUUAUCUAUAUUAUACAAAAAUUUCAAUCAACACUUCUUAUUAGAGUUACUCUUUUACUUGUUUCAGUCAUUUUACUGUGGCCAUGCUGGAACACCGCCUUGAGUUGAAGAAAUCGACCUCAGGUUUUAUUCUUUGUAAGCCUAGUACUUAUCCUAUCAGUCUCUUUUGCUGAACCACUAAGUUAUGGGGAUGUAAACGCAUCAGUUGUCAAGCAAUGUUGGGGGACAAACACACAUAUAUAUAUAUAUAUACAUGCAUUCGAUGGGCUUCUUUCAGUUUCUGUCUACCAAAUCAACUCACAAAGCUUUGGUCGGCUCAAGGCUAUAGUAGAAGACAUUUACCCAAGGUGACAUGCAGUGGGACUGAACCCAGAACAAUGUGGUUGGUAAGCAAGCUACUUACCACACAGUCACUCCUGUGCCUAGAGUUAUCUAUUUUGUUGAUUUCAGAUUUUAAACUUUUCUCAAAAAGGAAUUUGUUUUUCCUUUCCUGCUCAUUGCCUGAAUAAUCUCAGGUAAUUGAAGAUUUUCAUUUCACUGUAUUACAUAUGUGAGAUGCUACUUUAUACAUAUUUAGUAAGCAGAAAAAAAAACCCUCUUAAAAUUUCUUCUCUCAGCCUUAUCAUUGUCAAUAUCGCUGGUAAAGAUGAAGAGAGAAUAUGACAAUCCACUACGUUGGUCAUAUCUCUCUUUAUGCUUGAAGUUGUUUGGUUGUACCACUGAUUUGGUAACACUGCCAUGCUAACUUAAUGCUAUAUAAUUGCUUACCAUAAACAAUUUCGUGUUCCCUAAAUUUCAAUGUGGUCAACCAGAACUGAAGGAUACUGCUUUUAUGGAAGUGAUGCUCAUUUGCAACUAUUAUAUGAAGUUAAUACAAUCCAUUCAGAAGGCUCGGGUUGGCCUGAGGUCAUAGUAGAAGAUACUGGCCCUAAUGACCAAAGAAGUUGACUGAACUCAAAAUCACGUUGUUGGAAGGUAAAGGGUUUCUGUUGACCAAACUCUACUCACAAGGCUUUUAUCAACCCAAGGCAUUUUUUGGAACAAAAGACUUGUGCUGCACAUUGGGAUGAAAUUUGGAAUUAUAUGUUUGCUGAGCAAACUUCUUAACCACAGAGCCAGGCAUGUUUCUGUUUCUAUGGACAUUUAGUUUUAUUGUGAAGGAAAUAAUAAGGUUGCAAACUCCAAAUUAAAGAUAGAACUUUCACACCAUGUUAACCCUUUCAUUACUGAAUUUAUUUUGAGGGGUUCUGUGUUUCUUUCAAUUACAUUAAAUAUAACAAAGAAUUUCGUGAAAUAACUUAGUUAUCAUUAAGCUAGUGUUAGGAACAUAAAUUGUGACUAAGGUUUGGUGGAAGGUUCUAUUUCAUAACUUAUGAAAACAAGGCAUUUGUACUACAGAGCAAGAGCCGGUUUCAGCCGGGUUGGUAACGAAAGGGUUAAUGAUACGAGCUCAAUCAUGUAGAAAAAUAGUUAUUAAUAAAAAAAAAAGUUCUUAUCAUCACUUAUAUUAGUUUAAUAUCGGUAUAUUAAUGCCAGUAGGACAAUAUUUUACUUUAUGAAGAUUUAAAAUAUUUAGUUGAUGAGAUCCCUGUCAAUUUUCUUCUGGUAGGUGAUUGAUGGAUCUAUCUGUUGCUUGGUCUAGCGCUAACAUCAGAACCAUGCUAAAUGGUUGGUAUUAGGAAAGGCACCCAGCUGUAGAAACCAUGUCAAAGCAGACAUAGAAUCUGGUGGAGCCCUCUGGUUCAUCUGUUUUUGUCAAACUGUCCAAUCCAUGCCAGCAUGGAAAAAAAGGAUGUUCGAUAAUGAUGAUGAUGAUGAUGAUGAGUUUGUUUCAAGUAUUCAUGUCAGAUCUCUGAUCUAGUGAUAACUUGAUAUCCUGGUAUACAGCUUUCUACUUCAGCAGUCUUAUGAAUCAUAGAUUCUCCACCACCAACAACACCAGCCCUACCACCACUACAACCAUCACCACCACCACCAGUCUCAGAAGCCCUUGCAUAAAAACAUCAUGGGCACUGCCCUACCUCCUUUUUAUAGAACCUAAAAGAAAAAUUCACUCAACCAUAAAAUCAAUUACUAUCAGUAGACACAUUAAUGUAAUUACUAUUUAUAAUAAUUACUAUUUCAUACAAUUACUAUUUCCCCCAAAAGUCUACGUCAGCAUAAUAAUUAUAUUACAAUUUUAUACAGAAAAAUGUAAUUCAACAAUUAUUUGAUUUCCAUUAAUUCUAAAAGUCUGUAAAAAUUCUUUAUCCUUCUAAAUACAUAAAUGAGACUCUAAAAAAAACCAGCCAGCCAGCACACUGUUUCUGUUGUUUUUUUUUUCUCUAAUUGUGAUAAACAAUAGAAUUGUGUCAUACUUAAAUAUUCAGUUAAUAAGUAUUAAGUUUGUUUUUUUUUUUAAUAAUUAAAUGGAAUUGUUCAGCUCCCCUUCAACGAUGCAAUUUAUCUGAAGACAAAGAAACAAAAUGGAAAAACAAAACAAAAAACUAACAAGCUUUAUGUUCUAAUUAAUUAUUCAGAAACAAAAGAGUCUUGAAUAUCUGUCAGACGGUUAUCAUUUUUAUUCUUAAAUCACCUGAGGAUGUUUUCAAUAUGUAUCCUAUCAUAACAGAAAUACACCGAAUAUUAAAUUUAUGUAAUCAUAAUGAAAGCUAAGGAAAUAUUUUGCAGUUUUUCUUUUAUAUAAACUGCGUCUGUGUACACAUGUACUUACAUGAGGUGACACACUUGUGCAUUUCAAGCUAUCACAAUUUGAAACAUAACAGUAAUACAAACUAACUUUAUGUUGAGUCAAUAAGAUAACAAACGAGCAUCUUCAUGAUUAUACAGUCUACUAAAAAUAGCAGCCAAAUUUCUCUCAAAAUCAUUCUAUCAUCAAAAGGGAAAAGGAUACAGUUAGAUCAGUGCUACUCAAAGUGGUGCUCUGCUGACCAGUGCCGAUCCGUGAGCCAUCAGCUGCCGGUACAUAGCAAUUUUGCAGAAAAGAAACAUAAAAUGCUUAUAAAAUGCUUAUGUAACAUUAUACUAUUUGUUUACAACAUAAAUAUAAGAUAAAAAAAAAUUGUCAACUUUUAUUAUAUUUAUUAUAUACAGUUGCGGCCAAAAUGUUCAGAACAGCAUUGUUUUAACGCCAGAAAAGUAGGUAUAAGUUUUUAUCAAAGUUGUUUUAUAUUCUAUAAUUUUCACAGACAAUAAAUACGAUAUUAAUUGUUAUUGUCUGAGAUUUUGGUGUAAUUUGAGAGGAUAAUACAAAAGUUAUGGAUGAUUUAGUAAUUUACUGCAAAACCCAUGGUGGCCAAAAUAAUCAGAACAGUUGCUUUUACUCCAUGUUUUAGUAUAUUUAACCGGCGAACUCUAAUGUUUUGAAGUUGUUUACGUGACGGUUCGUGUACUAAACAUUAGUAAGAAUAUCUGCAGUGUACUUUGUUAAUAUAAUGCCACUUACUCCGUUAUCAAUUCGUCAGCAGAUUAUUAAGCUUCGAAAGAAGGAUAAUUUAAGUAUUGGGUCAAUUGCAAAGAUUGUUAAUAAGUCAAAAAGUGUUGUUCACGGUAUUCUUAAGGUCUUCGAUGAUUGUGGUUUGUGUGAAGCAAGAAAGUCUACAGAUAGACCAAGAAAAACGACCAAGAGAGAAGAUCGUGCUAUGGUAAAGUUGGUUAAAAAGGACAGAUUUAAAACUGCUGCUGCUGUUUCUCAGGAAAUGAGCAUUGUACUGAAGAAAACGUUAUCUCGAAAAACUUGUCCCAUCGUUUAGUUGAACAUAACCUACAAGCAAGAUCACCAGCAGUGAAGCCACUGAUCAGCUCCAAAAAUAAAAAGUGUCAUCUUACCUUUGCAACCGAACAUGUGUUGUGGUCUCAAGAAAAAUGGCAAACGGUGCAUUUCAGUGAUGAAUCUAAGUUUAUGUUAUUUGGCUCAGAUGGGAAAAGUAGGUGAAAAAUUGUCACCUAAAUGCCUUAAGACUAGUGUUAAAUUCGGUAGAGGAAGUGUCAUAGUUUGGGGGAUGAUAUCUGGUGAUGGUGUGGGCCCUUUGGUGCGAUUACAUGGAAAGGUAAAUGCAGGAGUUUAUAAACAACUUGUAAAAGAUCAUGUCUUGCCUGUGCUGAGAAAUUCAACUAAGUGACCACCCAUAUUCAUGCAGGACAAUGCCCCAUAUCACAAGGCUAAAGUGGUCAUGAACUUCCUCAAGGCUGAAAAGGUUAUUAUUAUGGAUUGGCCUGCUCAAAAUAUAUUCCACACAUUGAAAAUGUGUGGAAUAUUCUAGGAGAACGUUCGAAAGCCAGAAAUCCCAAAAUAACCGAGCAAUUAUGAAAUGCCCUUCAGGAAGAAUGGAAUAAGAUCACCUAGCAAGAAAUUGAAAAUUUAAUUUCCUCAUGCAGUCGAAGAUGUCAAAGUGUGAUUGAAGCUAAAAGGUUUCACACUAAAUAUUAAAUAAUUCCACUGUUCUCUGUCAUUUUUGAUUAUUUUGUUAUUUUUUCAACAGUUCUGAUCAUUUUGGCCGCCAUGGGUUUUGCAGUAAAUCACUAAAUCAUCCAUAACUUUUGUAUUAUCCUCUCAAAUUAUACCAAAAUCUCAGACAAUAACAAUUAAUAUCGUAUUUAUUGUCUGUGAAAAUUACAGAAUAUAAAACAACUUUGAUAAAAACUUAUACCUACUUUUCUGGCAAAAACAAUGCCAUUCUGAACAUUUUGGCCGCAACUGUAUAUUGUGGAAGGUGUUUGUAAGCCAUUUAAGAAACACACAAAAUCCGUUUGGUUCACUUCAACAUUUAAAUUUAAUUUGUCAAAAUAUUUUCGUCGCUUUGAGACCAUGACCUGUUCACUGAUGAUAUUCUGUGCUGCCGUAAUUUUGUCAAUGAACAGGUUGCAGUCUCAAAGUGACAAAAAUAUUCUGAUAAAUUAAAUUUAAAUGUUGAAGCGAAUCUAACGGAUUUUGUGUGUUUCUUAAAUGGCUUAUAAACACCUUCCACGCUGCAAUUGUUUUCGUUCCAGCACACAAUCUCAGAUCAGGUCACUUGCUAUGCAAGUACAUCUCCGUAAUUAUAUAUAUUGUUUCUGGUAUAAAUUGAUAUUAUUAAGAAACAUUACUGGUCCCUGGCACAUUGGAAAAAAACUGCCAGUACGCCACAUCAGAUAGUUUGAAAAGCACUGCAUUAGAUAAUGUAGUCCUAAGCAGCUUUAUAAAGAUGAGAUUGAUAUGGCUGAAAUACCUUUGAUCAUAGAUCUGCUAGAUCAAGGCUUUACCAGGGGUUAAAAAAACAACAACAACAGGCUUUUGUUGUGAAGAGCUUCUUGGAGAUUAUAUCCUCAAAAGACCCUGAAGUCGAAAUUUUAUUAUUGAGAUUUUAUGAAUCAAUAGCAUUUUACAUUGUGGAAGAGGUAUUUAAUAAUGCACAAAGCUGUUAAAUUCACUUUAAAUUUAAAUUUAUUUCACAGUGUGCCAGAUUUGUGUGUUAUUAAAUGGCUUUUCCAUGAUGUAAUCACUUCAGUUUCAACACUUAGUCUCUGUACAAUUCCCAAAUAUGAUUUUGAUUUAAAUUUAGUUUUGGGUUUCUUUAUUAAUGGAAUGGCAUUCUUAAGCAUAUUAGCUAAAAAUUUCCCUCCCAUAUGUAUAUAUGAUAUCAUGUAUCUAUGACAUAUAUAUAUAUAUAUAUAUAUAUAUAUAUACGAUAUGUGUGUGUGUGUGUGUAUGUGUAUACAUAUGACAGGAAAUUGCGAGGAUGAUCCGGUUCUUAACUGAAGAUUGAAGGCUUCGAAUGUCCCGUCCGUGUUUUUUGUAUAGUCUUCUAAAUGUUUUACUUUCUUGUCCCAGUUUGGAUUUUUUUACAUUUACAUAUAUAUAUAGUGGCGCCCGUACCCUUUUUGGUCUUAUAUGUAAGUACAUAUUUCUUUAAAACAUGGUACGAUUCUAUAACACUGUCUCUCUCUCCCUCCUCUCCUACAUUUCUCUGCACAUUAAAAAAACUCUUGUUUUUUUAAUGUAUUCACACAAAAUCAGGGGAUAAACAAGUACUUCAUUUUUCCAUAUAGUCUCCUUCCUUUUUGAUGUACUUGGUCCAGUGAUCCACAAGCUUGCGUAUUCCCUCCAAGAAGAAGGUUUUCAGUUGGUCAUGCAACCAUUUAUGCAUCAGCUCUUUAACAUCUUCAUCCGUAUGAAAUCAACAACCUCGUAAACCACCUUUGAGCAGUCUAAAGAUAUGAUAGUUGGAAGGGGUGAGAUCUGAGCUGUAGGCAAGGUGUUCCAGUACUUUAAAACCCAAUUGGUUAAUGGUUCCAAUGUUCAGGGUGGCCAUGUGUAGGCAUGUAUUGUCAUGCAACAACAAAACUUUCUUCGACAAUAGGCUUCGGUAUUUGGUGCAAAUUGCUGGCUUCAGUUUUUUGGCCAGCAAAGCAUUGCAUCUUGCACUGUUGAUCGUACACCUCUUUUUCCAGAUAGUCUUCCAGUAUAGGCCCUUUUGAGUUCCAAAAUAGGGUUAGUAUUACUUUCACUGUGGAAGACUGAGUCUUGAAUUUCUUCAUUGCUGGUGAACCAGGAUGCCUCAUUUCCAUACUCUGCUUUUUGGAUUCUGCCUCAUAAUGAUGGACUCAUGUUUCGUCUCCUAUGACCAUUCUGCUCAAAAAUUCCUCGCCCUCAUGGUUAUAGUGAUCAAAUAAAUGUUAACAGACCUCAAGGCAUUUGCAUUUGUGCUCUGCAGUAAGCUCUCUUGGCACCCACCUUGCACAGACUUUAUGGAGGGCGAGAUCAUGGAUGAUUUGAUAAGCAGAACCAUGACUAAUCUGCAGAGAAUGAGCUACCUCAUCAAUGAUAACUCACCAGUUCUUUCAGUUUCUGUCUACUAUAUCCACUCGCAAAGCUUUGGUCAGCCUGAGGCUAUAAUAGAAGACACUUGUCCCAGGUGCCAUGCAGUGAGGCUGAACUCAGAACCCUGUGAUUAGAAACCAACUUCUUACCAUAUAUACACACCUGCAUGUAUAUAUGUGUAUGUGUGUAUACAAACACACAUCAUAUAUAUAUAUAUAUAUAUAUGAGGUGUAUGUGUAUAUGUGUGUAUGUAUGUGUGUGUAUAUUUAUCACAUAUACAAUACAGCAUUUUUGCUGUGCUCUGAGGACCCUGCCAUUUCCCCUGGGGCUGCCCAAUAGGUAUUUUACUAUUACUUCAUGAUCAAUGUUUUAUCUUCAGGCAACACCACAUGAGGCUUCACUUUUUAAGAGAAGCAAGAGAUCAUCCAAAUUCACAAUUCUUCCUGCAUAUUUUCUCAAACAGAAAAUUUAAUUCUGCAAAUAUCUUGUCAAGAUACCAAGAAUAAAACAAAAUAAUUGAUUUUUCACAGGUUACAUGUAACAGCUACACUUUUGCAAAUACAAGUAAAAAUAAUUUCAAAGCAAAUUGAAAUACAAUCGAAACAAAAUAAAAUAAUUUUGAAGCUAAUUAAAUCUUUGUUAUAAUUAAAUAAUGUCAUAAAACCAUAUUUCCGAUGUUUUUAUUUAAUGAGAAUCAAAUUACAGUUUAAUUUUAAAUGGCAACAAUUCUUAAACAAGUUUGAAAAUAUCUUUCAUAAGUUUAUCUAUUUGAAUAUAAAAAAAAACCAGUUAUUCUGACUGUAAAUGCAUUCUUCCAUCAAGAUGAUUUACUAUAAUCUAUUGGGACACAGUCAAUCUUCAAACAUUGAAAGUUAAUAUUUUCAAAGAUUAACCCUUAAAUAUUUAAACCAGCGAUAUCUGGCUCAAAUAUUCCAACUAUUUCAUGUUCAAACUGGCAAGAUUCAACCUCUUACACUUAUCCUACAAUGUCAUUCUAAAGCUAAACAAACACACCAUCGAAAUCUCAAAGCUACAACAUAAUGCAUGAUUAAUUCAAAACAAUAUGAAUAAAUAAGCUUUACAUUUAACAGAGUAAUCUGAAUGCUAAAGGGUUAAGGCAGCAGUCCAAUGAUCAUGGGCACAGUCCAAUGAUUGAAACAAACAAAAAAAUAAAAGAUAAAAGAAGAGGUAUUGUUUUACUUUCCUCCAGUUUUAUUACCCCUGCCUUAGCAAAGGUCGAGGUAUUGUUGUCAGUCGUGUUUGUUUGUUUGUGCAUGGACAACAUAUCUCAAGAACCAAUGGGUUCGGAUGAAACUUUCAGGGAUGUUUGGCCUCGUGACUGGCACAAACUGAUUAGAUUUGGGAUUGAUCCGGUACCGCACAAGGAUUCUGGGUUAUUCGUUAUAAUUACUUUACCUUACGUGAUUACGAUCUUAUGUUAACUUUCAAGUCUUUCUCAAUUAUCUCUUUUUAGGCUGUAACUAUUUUGAAUGGUAAAUUUGUUAAUUUUGGCUUGUAUUAGACAAGGAUAAACUAUUUAUUACAGUUUUACUAGAUAUUUUACAGCCACCUUCACAUUCCAUGACUACCAUUGGGACCGAUCAGGUACCAGACAAGGAUUCUGGAUUAUUUUUAUGUUUUUUUUUACUUAAUUUUUGAGAGUGGUCAGGUUCAUUUUUAGUAUUCUCGUUUGUGAGAGCAGUUGAGUUUAUUUUAGAUAUUCUCAUUUUAAAAAUCACCUCUGGCUAAUCGUUGAGAAGAUGUUGGUGUUGCCUUGGUGGAGGUUUGUACUCUCUGAGUGCUCUUGUCUUAAUUUGUUUUCAGUUUAUUUAAUUUUCAGUAUACUCUUUUACUCUUUUAUUUGUUUCAGUCAUUUGACUGUGGCCAUUCUGGAGCACCGCCUUUAGUCGAGCAAAUCGACCCCAGGACUUAUUCUUUGGAUGCCUAGUACUUAUUCUAUCAGUCUCUUUUGCUGAACCACUAAGUUACGGGUACAUAAAAAUACCACCAUCAGUUGUCAAGCAAUACUGGGGGGACAAACAGACACACAAACAUACAUAUAUACAUAUAUACGACGGGCUUCUUUCAGUUUCCGUCUACCAAAUCCACUCACAAGGCUUUGGUCGGCCCGAGGCUAUAGUAGAAGACACUUGCCCAAGGUGCCACGCAGUGGGACGGAAUCCGAAACCAUGUGGUUCGUAAGCAAGCUACCUACUACACAGCCACUCCUACGCCAUUCAUUGCUUUGAGAUCAUUUCAAUUUGUAUCUGAAAAGGUACAAAGUGAAGUGAACUCGAGGGAAAAAAGUAAGUAAAUAAAAACAUAAAGAAAAGGCUGUGAUAGCAGUUAACUGCAGCUAAUACUGCAGGACUACAUAACAUACAAGGAAGAGCUUUCUUCAUUAUAUCAUUUUUGCUCCAUAAAAAUGUUGUAACAGACAGACAAAUGACAUAUUUCUUUUGAAUAUUUGUUAUAUUUCACAUAAUGAGAGCAAGGUGGCAGAACCAUUUCUGCUUUGCAGCAUUUCUUCUGGUUCUUUAUAUUCUGAGUUCAAAUCCUGCUGAGGUCAACUUUGCCUCUCCUCCUUUCAAGAUCAAUAAAAUAAAGUACCAGUUGAACACUGGGGUUGAUGUAAUUGACUCAUCACUUUCCAAUCAAAAUUACUGGACUUGAACCUUGCAAUGGAUCAAUGACCAGUUCAGGAAAAUGUUUUUUGAUCUUUAUCACUUAUAAGCGAUGGAAACUGGCUAACCGGCUUAAGAAAAAUGAAAAAAUAAGUUACUGCCGUGUGUGUAUAUGUGUGUGUAGGUGCUUGUGCCUCUCAGAGAGAGAGAGAGAGAGAGAGAGAGGGGGGGAAAUGAUGCACAUGGUCAGUUCUAAGCAAAAUCCAUUGGAAAGUGUUUUAAUUCAGUUUUAAUCCUGGUUCCUCUUGAAGAGAAGCUUUUUGGCUCAAACUAUUGUAAAAGGAAAAAAUAUUAAAGGUAAUUCUUUUUGUAGUUCAUUAUAUUAUUCUUAUUUUUUAAAAAAACCUGCAUUGUCAGUACUUUUAUUAAAUUCAAAGUAAAACUUAGGAAUCUAAUUUUCAGUAAAACCCUGACUUGAUAACUUUUCUACAAAUAAGUGAAAACAAUUAUGUUAUAUUAAGUUUACUUACUCAAUGAGUAUCUUUGACUAAGUGCUCUUGAAGUAAACAUACUUAUGCUUGAGUGUGUGUGAGAGCAUGAUGUUUAUACCAUCUUAGAAACAUUUCCAAAUAGAAAGAUGUUUACACAAACUGAAACAUACCUUGACACAGGUAACUAAACAAAGAGAUAAAGUUGCAUUUUAAGACUGGCAUCUUAAGUGUGCAGUGUCAAAAUGGUUAACCUUUAGGACCAUGAAGACUAGGAUCAUAGCUUUCAAUGGGUCUAUUGGUAAAACCGUUGUGUAGUAUAAGCUACAUAUAUUAUUUUGCUACCUCAGUCAACCAUGUAAAGAAUGAUGCCAAUAUGGGUGGCUCUAUAUGGUCAGUGAAUUCACACAGCCUAAAGGUUAGAGUGUCCAGCUCAUGAUCAUAAAGUCAUGAGGUCAAUUCUUGGAUCAGACACUGUGUUCUUCAGCAAGGCACUCCAGUGCAUGCUGCUCAAAUCAACUCAACUGUAAAGGGCUGUAGCCAGGUGUUGGUGUAGUAAUCUCUCCCUCCAUCUAUCACAUCCAAGCUAUUCUGUAGGAUCAAAUAUGAGAGGUUUGAUAGGGUAUGUAUUUAAUUGCGAUUGCAUAGGUACCUAAAACAAUUAGUAAAAAUAUGGUCUAUGUUAGUAAGCUAUAUUCACUAAUGAGUGAUGGUUGGUUGCACUGCUAACUCUGAAUGAUCACUCAAACUAACAAAAAUAGCAACUCAAUCUCCUUCAAAUCAAAUCACACGUUACUGUCUUAAAAAAGGACAGAUAUAGUCUCUGAUACAGUAUGUCCGUAAAACUGAUGAUGACAGGAUGAUGACUGCUUAAAUGCCUUUGACCACUGGUGUACUCAAUUGUAUUUUACCUAGGACUUAACAAUAUCUUAUGUAUAGACUAGCAGUAUAGCCCAGUAUUGCUCAGGUUUGUCUUUUAGUUGCACUUAAAAUGGCAGACUUUGAUGUCAUGUUAACAAAGUUUUGAUAUAGUUUCAAUCUUUUUUGAAAAAUAAAAGUUUUGCAUUAUGUAGCUUGUUAUUCUCUUUAAGUGAACAUUUUUCUGGUUGAAAUACACAGAAAAAUGGUGACACAGCGGUAAAAAAAUCGUAAAAAAUACGGAUUUUCAUAGUAAAAAAGCACCUUUUUGAUGUAAAUAAUUUUUGGUGUUAACAUGGUCCGAUUUGAAUUUUUUCUCCUACAGAAUGAAGAGCAAGCCUUCUAUCAUACCCUCAAUUUUGGUCAACUUGCACUGCAGGGUCUCAGAGGAGAUAGUGUUAGUUUAAGGCUACUAAACCUGCCACACACACACACACACAGACAACUUCAGCUUUAUAUGUAUAGAUUUGCUUGCUGUCACAAUUCUUAUAAAUACUUGAAUUUCUUUCACUAUUCAACCAAUAUUUUUUUUUAAUUAAAUAAAAUCGAAAAUGAGACUAAAACAACUUCAUAUGUUUACAUUGCUCUCAAGAAGCUUUUUCAUUUCAACACAGCCAGAGUAUCUAUAGUUUAUCUCAAUAGCCUAUAGGGUGAUGGACUGGCAGAAGUGGUAGAAUGGUCAUUAAAAAGCAAUAAUAUUUUUUAGUCUCUUUAUAGUCUGAGUUCAAAUCCUGCCUAAGUCAGACUGGGGUCUUUCCCCAUUCCAAGGAAAAAACCCAAUCAGUAAGUGUGAGUUUAGUACUAAGGAUCGCUUAAUCGGGAAAAGUGUGGCUCCUAGGUUAAGAUUUGCUUCACAACCAUGUGAUUGUGGAUUCAGUCCCACUGAGGAGUGCCUUGAGUAUGUGUCUAUUAAAAUAACCUGGAGUGGAAUUUAGUCAGCAGAAAACAUGUAGAAGUCAAAACUGUAUAUAUAUAUAUAUAUAUAUAUAUAUAUAUAUAUAUAUAUAUAUAUGUACAUAUAUUUAUAAAUGUAUGUAUAUAUAUUUACACAUGUACAAAUAAGUGUAUGAAUCCAUUUAUUUGUUGUUGGUGUAUAACAAUAAAGGCUGUAAACAUGAGCAAGAAAACCACAAAAACUUUCACAUCAAAGUCCUUUGCAGUAUUGUUCUGCACCAAGUUAUAGACACUCCCUUAUUACUAUCACCAUAAUAAAUGCAGUGAACCAAUGAUAGGUUUGUCAGAAAUCUGAAGCAUAAUGCUCUCCAAAUGUGAUACAAAUGAAAAUUUUAAAAAUAAAUAAUUGAAUGUAACUUUUCCAAAAAAUAUUUCUAGUUUUGACACUUUUAGAAAUGAUAUUUAUAGAUUGUGUGUAUGGAAUUUAACAGUCAUCACGACCCUAAGUUAGUAUUUCUUAUAGUUUGGUAGUAUACUGGCAAACAGAAUAACUAAUUAAAAGAAAAAGAAAUAUAAUAUUAUUUAUAUUCAAUUUAAUUUGUGAAGUGAUUCUUAUGAAUUUUAGAAUUAUUUCUUCUCAUUAAGUUAUUAUAAAACAAAAGUGUUAAAGAUGUAAUUUGAUUUACAGAAUUAUUUGACACCAAUGCUAGAUAUAAAAAUGGAACUAGCAGAGUACUCAUCAAAGAACUUGGAGUCCAUAUGAAGUGGGUGAUAAAUGUUUCUAUUGACUCCCCCAACAAGAGGCACCAAAAUGGAAUGGUGGUAUAAUUUAGAAGCGCCUUUAUAGGAUUGAGGAAUGGUUCAAACCAUAAGUUACAAGUUGGUUUACUCAUGAUCAGAUUCCUCUUGUUGUUUGAAUGAUUUAAGAAAUAAAACAAAGGGCAUACAAGAUUGGGUAAAAAAGCAGAAAUAUUUGAUAUAAACUCAAUAAUAAUAAUAAUAAUAAUAAUAAUUAAUACAAUGUAUCAGUCUUUCACACACUCACCUAUAUCCAGUUGUGAAUUCAUGUACUUUACAAAAGUUAUUUGAUGUAAACUGUAUUAUUGACAUGGCACUAACAGAACACAGCAAUAUAACCAUUUUAGUUUUGUAUACUUAGAUACUCAUUGUUAACAUAUCAGCCACUUUACAGUAGCUAAUUGCAAGUUUAGCAGAAAACCUAAAAUGAAGCUUCAAACGGAUUAAUACUGUUUUAUGUGUGGAACAUAGCCUGUACAGGAGAACAAUAGUAAGAGAAAGUAUGGCUUUGUGAUUUCUAAAACAACAUACUAACUUUUGAAGCAGAUUAAUUAGAAAAAUUAUUUCUUUAAUGUGGGGAUUCUGGUGUACAAAUAGAAUUCGCAGCUUUUGAUUAUUCAUCUGAUUUGAUUGGAAAACUUUGUUACUAAUAAAGAUCAAAGACUUCUUCUGUGACAACUCUAUUAUUCACAAACAGCAAAACAUUUUUCACAGAUAAAACUUGAACCUCACAUUUGAAGCUACAAUGUUCUCAAUUUUAUAUUGCUCGGUCCUUCCAUUUGGAAGAAACAUGAUUUAUUCCAAUCAGAAAAACUUGAACAUCUAAUUGAACAUUAAUACAUGUGGUGGAAAUAAUAUGUAACUGUGCAUAUUAGGUAUACAAAAAGCAAAUGAAAGAAAGACGAAUAGUUAUCGAUAGGAAAUAUAUUUUGAUUUAUCUUUGGAAGUUUACCUGCUUUCUUGAAGCAAAACUUAAGAUUACAUGUGAUUUCUCAUUAAUGUCAGAAAAGUCAAAAUAUAUACAAAGCAUAAGGGAGAAAUUAGUUCUGUAAACUUGGAUAAUUUGCGAUAAACAUAUCCUAGUUAACAAACAUUACGCUUUCAACUUUAUCAAGAUUGCGGCAUAAAUCAUUUCUGACUGUCUCAAAGACAUUCUUUAACAAAAUUCCUUUGUUUCACUGAAAUUUGGCAAGCUAUCCAGAAAUAGGUAAUGUGAUCUUGCUUGACAUGUUUAAGGUGAAGAAUAGAGAAAAUUGAAAUAAAUGAACACUGAUAAAUCACAUCGUGAAAUUCUCCACUCUGUUAUCAAAAUUCAGCUAAAGCUCUAAUUUGCAACAGAAUAUAAAGAGAAGAUAGAGAAGAUCAUUGAAGAAAGACAAUGACCUGGAGUCAGAACUACUGUGAUAAUUUCAUACUGUUUUCUGAGUUUCUAUAGAUAACAUUACUUGGUGUAUUUAAAAAUAGUUCUGUGUAGGAGGCUAUCUUACACUAACUAAAGAUUCCCGAUUAAAAGAAAACAAAGAAUAAAUGUAAAAAUAUUCAAGAAAAGAAAGCAGAGAUUUACAAAUAUUUAUCUUUUUUUAUUGUCAAAUAGCUUUUUCAUUAACUUAUAUUCUUUAAUCAAAUGCAAUUAUUCCCUGAGAAAUUAGGGAAAACAAUUUCAGUUGGAAACAUAGCCAGAAUAGUUAGUGUAUUUGUUUGUUCAUCAAAUAUCUAUGUUUUUUUUUGUUCUUGUUUUUUUGUUUUUUUUUUCCAUGUUUACAUGGUUUGGAUUGGGACUUAUUUAAGGUAGGAUUUUAUGACUGGAUGCUCUUCCUGCUGUUAAUCUUGUUUUUCAGGUACAGGAAAUUUUAUUCAUAAGUAUUUGGAAGCACAGAGUGACUAGUAAUAAUGUCAACAAUGAAUGGCAAUAUCUGAAACGGCUUCACUCAGGCAGUGACAAACAAAAGAAGCCUUGGAAUAUCAAUAUUUGCAGAAAUGCACAAAUAAAUACACACACAUCAUCUUACAGACGGGCUUCUAUACACUUUCUUAUUUCUUUAUUGCCCACAAAGGGCUAAACACAGAGAGGACAAACAAGGACAAACAAACGGAUUAAGUCGAUUAUAUCGACCCCAGUGUGUAACUGGUACUUAAUUUAUCAACCCCGAAAGGAUGAAAGGCAAAGUCGACCUCGGUGGAAUUUGAACUGAGAACAUAGUGGCAGACGAAAUACCGCUAAGCAUUUUGCCCGGCAUGCUAACGUUUCUGCCAGCUCGCUGGCUUCUAUACACUUUCUGCCUACCAAAUUCACUCACAAGACUAAAUUAGUUGGUUGGGGGCUAUGGAACAAAAUACCCAUUCAAAGUAUCAUGCACAGGGCCUGAACCCAAAACUAUGUGGAUCUGAAGUAAAAUUCUUGAUCACAAAAUCAUGCCAGCACAACUUAAAUCCCUCUCAGACCUGGAACUCUGUGUCUAAAUUUACCCUCUGCCUGGGCUCCUGAGCAAAAAUAUAAAUAGUUGCAUAUACAGCCCAAGAGUAAUGACUGCAGACAAACUAGUGAACAAAAUCAGUUGCAUCUUUAUGUUUCUAUGUAAGCAGUUCAUUACCCCUUUACUGACAGGGAUGAUGUUCAACCAAUAUCCAUUAUUAUAAUAGCAGAAAUAGAGCAUGACAGGUUUAUAGGUGCUGAAUGGCCAGAUUGAAAUUGAAAAGUUCUAAUCCUAGCAUUACCCUUUUAUUGUGCUCCGAGAUUAAAGAAACCAAAACAAGACUGGAAAUAUGUACUGCAUCUCCUUCACUGUGGAAUGCUUAACAUUAGGAAUACAAACACUUGUUAAAAUAUGUUGUUUCACCAGUUCAGAUAAUAUUUACAUGACCUCCUAUAACAUCGUCAUAAAACAAGCCAACACAUGCUGGCAGAAUCAUUGGCAAGCAGCAUGCAUUCUAAAUUCUAAGGUUCAAUAUUCUAAGGUUGACCUUGUCUUUCAUCCUUUAGGGGUCGACAAAAUAAGAACCAGUUGAGUACUGGAGUUGUUGUUUGUUUGUUUGUUCUUUCUCGAGCAAUGCCUGGCUCAUAAGGGCCGGUUUCCCAGUUUCCUUGGCAUAUAGGUUCCUCACCUGGACAGGACACCAGUCUGUCGCAGGUGAACUGCAAGAUGCAGGAGGAAAGAGUGAGAGAAAGUUGUGGUGAAAGAGUCAGCAGAAUUUCACCAUUACCUUCUGCUGGAGCCGUGUGGAGCUUAGGUGUUUCACUCAUAAACACACACAUCGCCCGGUCUGAGAUUUGAACCCACGAUCCCUCGACCGCGAGUCCACUGCUCUAACGACUAGGCAAUGUGCAUCCACUGAGUACUGGAGUCAAUGUAAUCAACUUAGCCCCUCUCCCGAAACUGCUGGCCUUGUGGAACAAUUUGAAACCAAUACUCACACAGAAACACACAUACAUAAGAGUACAGGUAUGACUGUGUGGUACAAAGUUUCUUUCCCAACCACAUGGUCUCACUUCAGUCCUACAGUGUGAUAUCAUGAGUGUCUUCUGCUAUAAACCCAGGCCCAACCAAAACCUUUUGAGUGGAUUUGGAGACAGAAACUGACAGAAACCCACUAUGUGUGUGUGUUACUGUCACUGCCUUGACAUGAUGUGAUAGUUGUGAGUUUCCUUGUCAUCCAAUUGGUAUGCUUUGCUUCCAGUCUGUGAAAACAUAUAUGAUCAUGGGAAAAUAUUAACUUACUACAUAGGAGUGGUUGUGUGGGAAGUAGUUUGCUUACCAACAACAUGAUUCUGGGUUCAGUCCCACUGCAUGGCACCUUGGGCAAGUGUCUUCUACUAUGGCCUCCGGCCGACCAAAGCCUUGUGAGUGGAUUUGGUAGACAGAAACUGAAAGAAGCCUGUCGUAUAUAUGUAUAUAUGGGUUUCUCUCAGUUUUCUCUUUGUAUGUAUGUGUGUGUGUAUAUGUUUGUGUGUCUGUGUUUGUCCCCCCAACAUCGUUUGACAACCGAUGCUGGUGUGUUUACGUCUCCGUAACUUAGCGGUUCAGCAAAAGAGACUGAUAGAAUAAGUACUUGGCUUACAAAGAAUAAGUCCUAAGGUUGAUUUCCUCGACUAAAGGUGGUGCUCCAGCAUGGCCACAGUCACAUAACUGAAACAAGUAAAAGAGUUACUUGGAAACAAGUGAGGGUUGGCAACAGGAAGGGAAUUCAGUUGUAGAAAAUCCACCUCAGUAAAUUUCUUCCGAUCCAUGCAAACAUGGUAAAAUGGAUGUUAAAAUGAUGAUGAUGAUGAUGACAUAAGUUAUUUAAGACAUCAAUGUUAAAAAUCAAAAAAGAUUAAAACUUUUCAAUUUUGUUUUGAGAAACUAUUGUACCAUGUGGGCCAAAUUGAUAAUAUUGAUGUAAAAAAUUCAAUAUUCAGUUUUUGUUUUCACAACCACACAACUGGAUAAAAGUAUUCAAUAUCACUUACUUCCAUUUAAAUUUUGUAAUCAGGAGUGGACCCAAGCGAGGGCCUGAGGGUUACAUGCGACCCUCAAGAAAAGAAGUGCACCUUUCUAAAUAAUGUUAUUACGCCCUUUUCUCCUUGACUGGUAUUAUUCCCUUCUGACCUUGUACCCACCCUUCGAAGAAUUUUUGGGACCACACCUGGUAUAUAGUCCUUAUAUAUAUAUAUAUAUAUAGUAGGGAAUAUAAUUCCAAACUUACAGGGAAAAAUUCAGUUUAGCAAUUCUAAAUCAAAUUUCCCAAUAUAUAAUAUAUGUAUAUAAUAAAGAGAAAUAAUGUUUAUUUAAUUUAGUGAUUUUUUUAAUAAAAUUUUUUCUAUAUAAUAUAAUGUCUUUCACUAUUGAAUUACUUAAUAGAGGUAAUUUCUCUUAAUUAUAUAUAUAUAUAUACCGUUGGCGAUUUUUUUCCUCUGUCUUCCCUUCUCUAGAUCUUUCCUUCUCCUAUGUUUCCGACAAAGAGUCCGCUCGAAAUGUUAAACCCUCCUUCUUUCCUUCUUUCCGGAGCGUCCAAUAAUACUAUAUUUGUUCCACGUCCUCGCAUUGUUGUGUUUUUUUGUGCCUUCUUGUUUGGAUUAACUAUAUCAUCAUCAUCAUCAUCAUCAUUUAACGUCCGCUUUCCAUGCUAGCAUGGGUUGGACGGUUCAACUGGGGUCUGGGGAGCCCGAAAGCUGCACCAGUCCAGUCAGAUCUGGCAGUGUUUCUACAGCUGGAUGCCCUUCCUAACGCCAACCACUCCGAGAGUGUAGUGGGUGAUUUUAUGUGCCACCGACACAGGUGCCAGACGAGGCUGGCAAACGGCCACGCUCGGAUGGUGUUUUUUAUGUGCCACCGACACAGGUGCCAGACGAGGCUGGCAGACGGCCACGCUCGGAUGGUGUUUUUAUGUGCCACCGACACAGGUGCCAGAUGAGGCUGGCAAACGGCCACGAUCGGAUGGUGCUUGCUACGUGCCCACAGCACGGAGGCCAGUCGAUGCGGCACCGGCUACGGCCACGUUCGGACGGCCCCCUUGUGUGCCACGUGCCACCGGCACUGGCACCACAAAGAUACAAAUUCCAUUGAUGUUCAUCUAUUUUGAUUUGUUUUGAUUUGAUUUUCACUUGCCUCAACAGGUCUUCACAAGUGUCACAAGAAGGAAGGUAUGCACAGGUGGACUGACUACGUCCCAGGUAGGGGCCAUGGGUUAUGGCCUGACUAGUCUUGCCGGGUCUUCGGAUGGUGUUUUUAUGUGCCACCGACACAGGUGCUAGAUGAGGCUGGCGAACGGCCACGAUCGGAUGGUGUUUGUCAUGUGCCCACCGCACUGACUACAGCACUGAUGGAUUUCUUGUGAGCCACAGGCACUGGUACCACAAGAUACAAAUUCCAUUGAUGUUCAUCUAUUUUGUCUAUUUUGAUUUGAUUUGAUUUGAUUUGAUUUCACUUGCCUCAACCGGUCUUCACAAGUGUCACAAGAAGGAAGGUAUGCACAGGUGUAUAUAUAUAUAUAUAUAUAUAUAUAUAUAUAUAUAUAUAUAGAUGUAUGUAUAUAUAUAUAUUCUAUACAUACAAUUUUUAUACUUGUCCCAGACAUUCACAAGAAAACAGAUGAAAUGGUGAGAAAUGGUCUCAAGAAGCUGAAGAAGAUGACUAAAAUCUUUGAUGAUUAAUAAUAAACAAUUCUGAAAGAGACCAUCCCACAAAUGCAAACUUGGAGAAUUGGUUGAUACAAUAGUUUAGUGUUGGAGGAUGGGAUGUAUAAUAUAGCAAGUAUUAGGUCUCUUCAUUAGCUUUUCAUCUGUCACACCCUACUCUCUAUUUAGCGUAUCAGGCUGUACAUAGGCUGUGUAUGUAAUAAAGGAUGGCAUUUGAUAUCCUUGUAUUUGGUGAAUGCAAUUGUCUUCCCAAUAGCAACAUAUAGAUGUGAGACCUGGACACUAAAGAAAGCUGACCAGAAGAGAAUUAAUGCAUUCAAGCUUUGGUGUUGGAGAAGACUUUUACGGAUUCCAUGGACAGCGAGGCUCACCAAUGGAGAAGUUCUUAAGCAGAUCAGGCCGAAAAUGUCGCUAGAAGCUAGGAUCACCAAGCAUAGAUUGGCAUAUUUCGGUCAUAUUAUGCAGAGAAAAUCCCUGGAGAAGGACAUCAUGCUCGGAAUGGUCAGUGGUAAGAGAGGAAGAGGCCGACCAAGAACCCGCUGGCUUGACACCAUCAAGAGUGAUACCGGAAUGGACAUAGCCAAUCUGAAAGAAGUGGCCCAGGAUAGAACUGACUGGAGGACACUGAUCCGAGUAACCGAGAGUCGACUUUGACUGAGUGGAUAGAUAGAUAGUAUUUAAUCCUUUUACCAUCACCCUUUACCAUCAUACCUCUCUUCCACCACGGUCUUUUAUCAUUCUCCUCUCUUGCAUACAUAUCUUUUGUCACUCUACUCCUCUCACAACAAACUUUUUUUAUAGCUAGAGCCUUAAAAAUAUAUCAUUUACCUUAUUGUUAAAACUUUGAUUGUGGAGAUGCAUGGUUUAGUGGUUAGGUAGUUGGACUUUUGAUUGUAAGAUUGUGGUUUCGAUUCCUGGACAGGCGAUGUGUUGUGCUCUUGAGCAAAACACUUCAUUUCACAAUGCUCCAAUCCACUCAGAUGGCAAAAAUGAGAAAUCCUACGAUGGACCAGUGUCCAGUCCAGGUGGGGAAUUCAUAUGCCCUAGAAACAGGGAAACUGGAUUUUAUCAGUUGACAUGACUUGUCAAAGUAACUUUACCUUUUUUACUUAAUACUUUGACUUGAUUCAACCAAUGAGGAUACCUCUAUGUGGCAACUCGGUCUGGCAGAAAUAACAGUCAAAUUCACCUCAAACCUUAAAGCAGUAUAAAACAUUAGAUAAUGUGUUCCGAAGUUCAGUAUUUAAAAAUUAAGUGGAAUGGUCAUAGUUAAAUCUGGAAUGCUUUAAUCACAGAUCUACUUCAUCAUAACACUGAGCAGAGACUAAACAACAUAGGACAGUACAUUUUUCAGUAUUUGUCCUGACAUUCUUCUCUCAAGAUUCAAAUCCUUCUGAGCUCAGCUUUGCCUUUCAUUCUUUCAGGAUAAAUUUAAAAUGUUCUCAUCCAGGGCAAUGAACUAGUAGAAUUGUUUGGACAUCAAAUGAGAUGCCUUGCAGUAUGUCUAUUAGCUCUUUGCACUCUGACAGCAAAGUCAGUGACGAUGAUAUUAGUUCUAAGUUGUACAGGCCUUCGAUAAUAAUCUUUCCCUUCGACAAUAACCUUUCCUUUCAGCAACACUAAUGACAUGCAGCAGAGACAUGUAUAACUGAAUAACUGCUAGGUUUUCACAAUCAUUAGAUAACUGGAAUGCUUCAGAGUAACUGUACCAACUCUUUUCACUCUGAGUUCAAAUACCACAGAGAACAACUUUACCCUUCUGUUCCUUCAAUGUUGCAAAAUGAUUACCAAUCCAGGAUGAUGGAUUGGAAGAACUAUAAGAAAGUCAGACAGGAUCUUUGCAGUAUUGGUUCCAGCGCUUUACAUUUUAAUCUCAAAUCCUACCAUAAUCUUCUUGGGUUCUAGAUUUACUCAUCCACCCAGUUUUACACUCCUUGACAUCUUGAAUGUCAGUAGUAGAGUCUACAGUAUUUCAAGCAUUUUCUGAGUCAGAUCUGUGAUUUGAGGAUACCUUCUUUCAUCCCUCAUACAAGUUUUCAAUGCCCUGUUAGGUGCUAUGGGUGCUACCUUCCCUUAUCACAAAACAAAUAAAAAGAAAACCUGUUCAGACUUAUGCAUAUAAGUAGAGUGACACGGCAUCACACACAGAGAGAGAGAGAGAGACAGACAGAGACAGACAGAAACAAGGAAAUGCCACUUGUAUUUGAAUGCUAUACAAAUAUUCUUUUAAAAAAACUUUUCUUUUAAUUUUUCAAUUUAAUUUAAUUGUUUUCUAUAUUACAGUUGAAAAAGUCUCAAUGACUGAAACUGGUACUGAAAUGUUUUUUAUAAAAUUAUUUUAGCAUUUUCUAUCUUGACUUUUUUUUCCAUAUAUAUAUUUAUAUAUAUAUAUACAUAUACAGUGGACUUCUUUCAGUUUCCAUUUACCAAAUCCACUCACAAGGCUUAAGUCAACCCAAGGCUAUAGUAGAAGACACUUACCCAAAGUGCCAUGCAGUAGGACUGAACCCAGAACAAUGUGGUUGGGAAGCAAGCUUCUUACCAUGCAACCACACCUGAUCAAUACUUUCAUUUAUAUCAGGAAUGGGGAAGAUUUUUAAUGCAGCAGGCAGAAAUUUCCAAAGUAAAAUGUCCUUGGUUGAAUCACAAGUUCUAACUCUUAUAUCUGUGUAAAUCUUGUAUAUAUCUAUGUAGAAUUCGAUAUACAUUAAUAAAGAUAAGUUCAACACAUUAAAUUAAUGCAUAACAUCUUCGUUAAUGCUGCCACUGAAUUUAGGACAUUUAUAUAUAUAUUACUUAUGAGGACAUUUAUAUAUAAUUUAGGACAUUUAUAUUACUUACUUUUCAGCUAUGUAGUUGGGUCUCAAGGGGGUGGUACAAACCUAGUAACAUGUGUUUUAUAGUGAAAGCAAAAUUUCCAUUCCAAUGGCAAUAACCGGAAUAUUUUCUGUUUGAGUUUUAAGUCGUAGUAGAAACACAACCUAUGACAAAAAUAGGCAUCCUAUAUUGUAUAAAUUUUAUAAUUGAAAAAUUUACUAUAUUUUGUAUAUACGAGUAUACCAGCCUGCAAGCGUAAUAAAAUGGGCUCACAUGAGCAAUUGUGCCCUCAGACGGGAGUUUCUCCAUCCCUGAUUUAUAUUAAAACUAUAAUGACAGGCUAGAAACUUGUAGAAAUGUGACAAAAGAUUUAAAUAUUGUCAUCAGUCACAGAGAAAACAUCUACAUGAUUAUAUGGCAUGCUAGAAAUAGCAACCAAUCUUCUCUCAGAUCCCAAUCUUGGUGUCUUAUGCAAAGAAGUACAAUAUUAGCUAAUGGCCAAUGUACAGUUAUGUGUACACUAAAAUACUUGAUGUAGUGUUCCAAGAAAUUAUACCAUACUAUCUGAGGAAUGUAUGAGAUCACUCAGUAAGAUUAAAAAUAAAUAAUACAAACAGUGUGGAGGUGCAAUGGCCCAGUGGCUAGGGCAGCGGACUCACGGUCGGAGGAUCACGGUUUCGAUUCCCAGACCGGGCGUUGUGUGUGUUUAUUGAGUGAAAACACCUAAAAGCUCCACAAGGCUCUGGCAGGGGGUGCUGGCGGCCCCUGUUGUACUCUUUCACCUCAACUUUCUCUCACUCUCUCUUCCUUUUUCUUGAUUAACGCUGUGAUGGACUGGCGUCCCAUCCAGUCAUGGGGAACACAUAUGCCUCAGAAACCAGGAAACCGGGCCCAUGAGCCUGGCUAGACUUGAAAAGGGCGACAAAGGAAAAAAGAAAAAUACAUCAUCCAUUCCCAGAAAUACAUCUAUCCAACAAUCCCUACCUGAAUUGUAUUUUCUCAAACAGUUACCCUCUACUCUAGUGCUUCCCAAAAUGAGCAGUACUGUUCCCUGAGAAGGGUCCAGGGGGAAAAUGGUAAGAUAGGAAUUGGAAAGAUAGGGAUACAUCUUAUUAUUGCUCAAAUUUUCAAAAAUAUAUUUUUAGAGAAGAGAAUCUUGAAUGUAGGAGAUGAGUUGUGAAAAGAGGUUUAGAGAAUUGGGUAAAAUACCCAAAUACAUGGGAAAAAAGUGACCAGCAGCCACUGUACGAAUCAUUUGAUGAUGUUACAGUUCAAAAUAAGGCAGCAAGCUGGCAGAAUUGUUAGCACAUCAGGAAAAUUGCUUAGCAGCAUUUCACUUGCCUUUAUGUUCUAAGUUCAAAUUACACUGGGGCCAACUUUGCCUUUCAUCUCUUCAGGGUUGAUAAAAUAAGUACCAGCUGAGCACUAAAAUUUGAAACCAAUAUUACAGUUGUUUUGACAAUCUAUAUUAUAUUCUCUUUUACUCUCUUUUACUUGUUUCAAUCAUUUUGACUGUGGCCAUGGUGGAGCACCGCCUUUAGUCAAGCAAAUCGACCCCAGGACUUAUUCUUUGUAAGCCCAGUACUUAUUCUAUCGGUCUCUUUUGCCGAACCGCUAAGUUACGGGGACGUAAACACAACAGCAUCGGUUGGUCAAGCGAUGUUGGGAGGAAAAACACAGACACACAAACACACACACAUAUAUCUAUAUAUAUACAUAUACGAUGGGCUUCUUUCAGUUUCUGUCUACCAAAUCCACUCACAAGGCUUUGGUCAGCCCGAGGCUAUUGUAGAAGACACUUGCCCAAGGUGCCAUGCAGUGGCACUGAACCCGGAACCAUGUGGUUGGUAAGCAAGCUACUUACCCCUACAGCCACAUAUUGAUGAAAUAAUUUAUGUGCAAAUGAUCCUUUAAUGGGGAUCAAUCUGUCAUCAGCAACUAUUUGUAGUGUAUUUAAUUUCUUUCAAUCAUAGCAAGGAGGCAUUGAAAGUCUGUUGAUAAGAAAAUAUUGGUCGAUUGUUUAAAAAGUUUGAAAAGCAUAUCUUUUCUCCACUUAAAUGACAGCUUCAAGCUAAAGUCAAUAAAGGGCCUCAUCAGAGAAGCCUUAUCAGCAUUAUAAUUCUCUGAGGAAAUCGACCCACUGGGCCCUAAAGUCCAUAGUAAUUGAUGGCAAAGCACAGCAUAGAGAGAUUAGAACUGAGCUCCUAGUUCCCGUGAGGACCCUAAGCAACAGUCUGGUGCAUCCAUGCCUUAAGAUAGCACCAGCCUUCACCUCAGUCACUAGACAUGCUAAAAAUAGCAGCCAAAUUGCCCUGUACCAUACUGUAAGUGGGAAGGAUCAUGUAAUGUCCUAGGUACAUUUCUAAAUAUAAGAGAUGGUCAUGACUGGAAUGCUUUUGAUCAUUGGUUCACUCAAAUCAACAACAGUCAUUACUAAGCUGUUUCCAAAAACAGAGGAAUUGUCUCACUCCUCUGAUUAAAUAAUGAUGAAAUAGAAAUCAUCACAAUAAAGAGAGGAAUAUAUACUUACGUUUAUGAGUAUGAGCGAGAGAUAGAGAGAAUGAGAGAGAGGGCUACAUUUAUAGGUAUCAAUUUUAGCUAAACUCAAAGCAGAAUCUUAUAAGCUAUGGGAGGCAACUCUAGCAAACUAAAUAUAUGCUAACUAGAGGAUUUUAGCGACAAGAUGGCACAAUCAAUAGAGCAAAAUAGUAUGUUUUGUGGUAUUCGUUACGGUUCUCUUCACUCUAAGUCCAAAUUCUACCAAGACAGAUUUGUUUUUUUUUCGAUAUCGAUAAAUAAAGUGCAAAACAAUACUGAUUGGGGUUCUUUUACCCGCAGUAUAUUGUUACACCCACCUUAAAACACCCGCUUGAUGCUAAGUUAGAUUGGCUCUUUCCUCGCAAUUAUAGGCUGUCUUAAAUUAAAAACACCACCUUAAACCUGUUCUUGUAGAAUGCAAUCUACUGAGCAUCUCCCUAGGUCUUUGUAAAUCACCUUAUCUCUUCAUCUCUUUAUAACACCGUGUACGUAAUAUCUACAUGUUAUAUCUAUAUUAUACAACUAUGGCAAGCACUAGAGUUGAUUUAAAUGAUAGAUACGAUUAUCUGUUCGAUUUUUUUUUUCAUCUGUAGCAAUUGACAGACAAAUUAUUAUAGUACUGCUUGUACUUUAAGGGCGGAUGAUAGUAUAAAAGCAAACGGCUACGGUAUUCCUCUGAGAAGCAGAAAUACCCUACCCCCACACUUAUCAGGUAUUAUUAUUUCUGAAAGACAUUGUAUUUUAUGCAAUCCGCAGUAGAAAGGCCUAAUGACUAAAUAUUUAUCAGAUAUACAAGCUUCUCAAAGCUUUCUGAUUCUACCUUAACCAACCAAUACCAUUACCCACCACAGAGGCGUCAGGUGAUUCCUGUGAGGGUAAUUUGCUGUUCCAACACCUUAGCCUAGCCAUCGCUCAUGGUAAUGUCGCCAGUGCGUUGGCUUGCUUCAGUUGGUUCUGCUGAACCUUGUGAUGUGCGACCAAUUGAAGCAUUUGGUGUUGAAUGGAUGAUUUCUGUUUUGUUUUUGUUGAAUUGAUGUUUUUUCCUUUUUUUUCUUUCUUUGUCCCUUUUUUUUGCGUUUUAUUCCUUUCGGUUUUGUAUCUAUAUUUCAUAAAAUUGUUUUUGGACGGAGGUAAGGAAUACGUAUACCACCCAUUUUCGGCGUAACAAAACCCCUAACCCUAAUCUUAACUAUAAACACCGGGUGUACGAAUUGUUUACUUUCGCCUGUUUUUGUACAUAUAAUAUUAAAGAAUAUUAAAACACGCUAUAAAACAGUAAAGAAUAUUAAAACACGUUAUAAAACAGUAAAAGAAAGAAAGAAAGGGGAGAGAGAGAGAGAGAGAGAGAGAGAGAGAGAGAGAGAGAUAGAUAGAUAGAUAGAUAGAUAGAUAGAUAGAUAGAUAGAUAGAUAGAUAGAUAGAUAGAUAGAUAGAUAGAUAGAUAGAUAGAUAGAUAGAUGGAACUUUUUGUGACCCUUCUGCCUUUAGUAACAAUUAAAUAAUGAAGAGCUUAUUGCAUACGAUGCUCAGAUGCACUACAACUAGCAGUUGUAAAAUGAUAAACAGGCGGCAGACAACAGCAAUAAGUCAAGAGAAGAGACACAGUUGAAAGCUAAAAGUGUAUGUACAGUACACAGAACAAAACACAAAAUGACAGAUAAGCGGACAUUAAAAGAACGAUAAAAGAACCAGAAAGGGGGCAUAGAGAAAGUUUAUGUCCCUUUUUUAAAAUUCACAAUUUCGCCCCAACCACUCCUACGAAAAAAUUGUCUUGGCCAAGGUACGUAUUUUCAGUUACGUUGAUGAAUGAGUCAACGAGAAUCGUGCGUCUUUGUCAUGAGAAAAGUGCAGUGAUAGAAUGAAUACUAACAACACUUCAGUAAACUGUAAAAUAAGCGCUGGCAUUUACUGCAGGAGGAGAGCAAGAAAAUUUUAAUUCUUCGUCAUACGACGCACUGCAGCGAGGAAAGAAAAACAUUGCAUCAACGUUAAAAUCGGCCAAACGGUGUCAAGGGGGACAACUCUAAUUCUCAAAUGCUGACAAUUGAUUAACGAAUUCGAAAUUUCAACUAAAAUUAGAAACAGGCAUGGAAUUAUGGGGAAAGUGAUAAUCUUGCGCAAGGUAAUUCAAGGUAUUUGAUCGUUUGUAUGUGUGCUUGUGUAUGUGUGUGUCUGUCUGUGUGUGUGGGGGAGAGAGAGAGAGAGAGAGAGAGAGUGCUGCUCUGCGUUUCUCUGAAUAAACAAUGUUUAUACAUCUGAGGCGGCGAGCUGGCAGAAUCGUUAGCACACCGGGCGAAAUGCGUAGCCGUAUUUCGUCUGCCGUUACGUUCUGAGUUCAAAUUCCACCGAGGUCGACUUUGCCUUUCAUCCUUUCGUGGUCGAUAAAUUAAGUACCAGUUACGCACUGGGGUCGAUAUAAUCGACUUAAUCCGUUUGUCUGUCCUUGUUUGUCCUCUCUGUGUUUAGCCCCUUGUGGGUAGUAAAGAAAUAGAUAUCUGAAUGUACAGGUGCAGGACGUUUGAUCUCACGAUUGUGAAUUGUUUUCUGAGAAGCGGUGGCGCGUUGCUCCUUUGAGCGAACUACUUUAUUUCACGCAACUUUUCUUUUCACUCAGUUGAAAACGUAAGUACCAGCGACAGCUGGAGUAAAAAAGGUUAACCCUGCAGCUUAUUAGCGCCCCUUUCACAAGAGGAAGAAGAAGAAGAGCUUACUACUUUCACUCAUUUCAAUACCAUGGAAACCGAGGUAAACUCGGACCUAAUGGGCCUGCAGACUCGAGAAGGACUUUUAACAGGCGAUCUUUCGGUACAAGUACCACAACUGCCAAUUAUAAACCCACGUGGGUUUAUUUACAUUUCUGAAGAAAAAAGAAACCCUUUUUCCUCACCCCUAAUCCUACAUAUAAAAAAAAAAAAAAACUUUACGGAGAGUGACGAUCUUCUUCAAAUGUAAACAAACAGACGUUGCAAUUAUGGUACUUGUACCGAAAGAUCGCCCUUUUAAUUUUUCUACGCACUAGUUGAUGUUUUGAGAUAGCAUUUCCAGCCAGUCUGUGUCAUAAAUAAAUAAAUAAAUACUAGUUACCUUCGCCUUAGCGAAGGCAGAGGUAUUGUUUCAGUCAUAUUUGUUUGUCCGUGGACAAGAUAUCUCAAGAACCGCUGAAUGAAUUCAGAUAAAACUUUCAGGGAUGUUUGGCCUCAUGACUGGUAUGAACUGAUUACAUUUGGGGAUCGAUCCAGUACUGGACAAGGAUUUUGGAUAAUUUUUCUGAUUUUUAAAAAUUAAUUUUUGAGAGGGGUUGGGUUCAUUUUUAGUAUGAUUGUGGGAACAGUCGAGUUUAUUUCUAAUAUUCUCAUUUAAAAAAUCAUCUCUGGUUAAUCAUAGAGAAUAUGUUGGUGUUGCCUUGGCGGAGGUUUGCGCUCUUUGAGUGCUCUUGUUAUUAAUUAUAUUAAGCAUACCCUUGCCCAAAGUGUAUAAUCUUCUACCAAAGUUAAAAGUCAGUAUUAUCACUUAUUUUAUUUUUAUUUUAUUCAUUCAUUUAUUUAUCUUAUCUUUUUUUCUUCUUUUCAGUAUUUCACAUCAGCAAAAUCUUUCAUGAAGGUAAGCAUAAAAUGUA